AGAGUUUGAUCCUGGCUCAGGACGAACGCUGGCGGCGUGCUUAACACAUGCAAGUCGAACGGUGAACCAGGGCUUGCCCUGGGGAUCAGUGGCGAACGGGUGAGUAACACGUGGGCAACCUGCCCCUCACACUGGGAUAACUUCGGGAAACCGAAGCUAAUACCGGAUAUUCGCCUCUGCAGGCAUCUGCGGAGGCGGAAAGGAUUCUGGUGAGGGAUGGGCCCGCGGCCUAUCAGCUAGUUGGUGAGGUAACGGCUCACCAAGGCGACGACGGGUAGCCGGCCUGAGAGGGCGACCGGCCACACUGGGACUGAGACACGGCCCAGACUCCUACGGGAGGCAGCAGUGGGGAAUAUUGCGCAAUGGGCGAAAGCCUGACGCAGCAACGCCGCGUGCGGGAUGACGGCCUUCGGGUUGUAAACCGCUUUCAGCAGGGAAGAAGCCGCAAGGUGACGGUACCUGCAGAAGAAGCACCGGCUAACUACGUGCCAGCAGCCGCGGUAAU
rnacentral:rRNA from 1 species